rnacentral:rRNA from 1 species
UACGGAGGGUGCAAGCGUUAUCGGAAUUACUGGGCGUAAAGGCGUGCGUAGGCGGUUCGUUAAGUCUGUUGUGAAAGCCCCGGGCUCAACCUGGGAAUGGCAAAUGGAUACUGGCGAGCUAGAGUGUGUCAGAGGAUGGGUGGAAUUCCCGGUGUAGCUGGUGAAAUGCGUAGAGAUCGGGAGGAACACCGGUGGCGAAGGCGGCGAC